CGCAUCUGUGCAUGCAGCAUAUCAAUAAGCGGAGGAAAAGAAACUAACAAGGAUUCCCCUAGUAACGGCGAGUGAAGCGGGAAGAGCUCAAACUUGAAAUCUUAAAGGGUUUCCCUUUACGAAUUGUAGUUUAAAGAAGUGUUUUCUGUUGAGGUUUUGGUAAAAGUUCUUUGGAAUAGGACAUCAUAGAGGGUGAGAAUCCCGUAUUUGACCUUUACUUUCAACUUUGUGAUAUACUUUCAAAGAGUCGGAUUGUUUGGGAAUGCAGUCCAAAAUGGGUGGUAAAUUUCAUCUAAAGCUAAAUAUUGGCGAGAGACCGAUAGCGAACAAGUACCGUGAGGGAAAGGAUGAAAAGGAACUUUGAAAAGAGAGUUAAACAGUACGUGAAAUUGUCAAAAGGGAAGCGUUUGACACCAGUGUUGUUUUUCUGAAAAUCAAUUAAAGAACUGUUUAUGCUAAGUUGUUUAGACUUUAUCAGCUAUCUGUUUAGUUUUGAGCUUUUCUUUAAUGCACUUUUCAGUUAACAAGUCAACAUCAAUUUCUUUUGCUGUAAAAAAGCUUGAGGAAGGUGGCUUGAGAUUCGUCUUAAGUGUUUAUAGCCUCUUGCCUAUGCAGUCGGAGAGAUUGAGGUCUGCAGCGUAGAUCCUUCGGGGCUAAAUGCAUUUGUGCUAAGUUAUAGCAUUUUAUAGACAACUUGUUGACUAUGAUUUGUCUUGUAGCUUACUCGCUUAUGUUAUUUUACCUACGCUUAGGAUGUUGAAUCUGUGCGAGACUAC
rnacentral:rRNA from 1 species